GAUGAACGCUGACAGAAUGCUUAACACAUGCAAGUCGAAGGUGAAGCUGUGCUUGCACAGCCUAGCCAAGGCGGACGGGUGAGUAACGCGUAAGGAACUUGCCCUGCAGUCAGGGAUAACAGACGGAAACGACUGAUAAGACCUGGUAAAGUCAGGCGGACUCAUGUCCAGCCCGAUGAAAAGAGAUGCUGCAGGAGAGCCUUGCGUCCUAUUAGCUUGUUGGUGGGGUAACGGCCCACCACGGCAAUGAUAGGCAGCCGGCCUGAGAGGAUGGUCGGCCGCCACGGGGAUGCGAUGCGGCCGUUCCGCCUCCUGGAGGAAGCAGUAGUGAAUAAUAGAGGAUGGUGGCAGCCCUGAUGAAGCAAUUCUGCGUGGAGAGUGAUGGUGUUCGGAUGGUAAAGUACUUUCAGAAGGGAAGAAGAUAAUGACGGUACCUGCAGAAGAAGCUCCGGCUAACUACGUG
rnacentral:rRNA from 1 species